AUGGCCUGGGUUCCUCUUCUGCUUCUCCUCCUCACUUACUGCAUUGGUGCCUUCGCUCAGUUUGUACUGACUCAGCCGCCUUCCACGUCUGCGUCCCCUGGAGAAACAGUGAAGAUCCCCUGUGUCAGGAGCAGUGGUAGCAUUACAGGCAACUACGUAUCCUGGUACCAACAGAAACCUGGCAGUGCCCCCAAACUGAUGAUAUAUGAGUUCAGCAAGAGACCCACAGGAAUCCCGGACCGUUUUUCUGGCUCUACGGACGCCUCUGCCAACUCUGCCACCUUAACCAUCUCCAAUGUCCAAGCAGAGGAUGAGGCCGAUUAUUACUGUUUGUCUUAUGUUGGUGGCAGCACGUACACAGUGGUUGUUGUGAGGAUAAAAUGGGGCGGGGGAACCCAACUAUGCUUCCCCUGGCUUUUGGGAAGACUGGGAGACACAAUAAAAUGCACAAUAUAA